rnacentral:rRNA from 1 species
UACGAGGGGGGCGAGCGUUGUUCGGAAUUAUUGGGCGUAAAGGGUGCGUAGGCGGUUUGGUAAGUCUCUUGUGAAAUCUAUGGGCUCCACUCAUAGUCUGCAAGGGAAACUGCCGGGCUUGAGUGUGGGAGAGGUGAGUGGAAUUUCCGGUGUAGCGGUGGAAUGCGCAGAUAUCAGGAGGAACACCAACGGCGAAGGCAGCUCGCUGGGACGGUACUGACGCUGAGGCGCGAAAGCGUGGGGAGCGAACAGG